rnacentral:rRNA from 1 species
GACGAACGCUGGCGGCGUGCUUAACACAUGCAAGUCGAACGGAAAGGCCCUGCUCUUGUGGGGUGCUCGAGUGGCGAACGGGUGAGUAACACGCGAGUAACCUGCCCUUGUCUUUGGGAUAACUUCAGGAAACUCGGGCUAAUACCGGAUAGGAGCUCCUGCUGCAUGGUGUGGGUUGGAAAGUUACGGCGGUUGGGGAUGGACUCGCGGCUUAUCAGCUUGUUGGUGGAGUAGUGGCUUACCAAGGCUUUGACGGGUAGCCGGCCUGAGAGGGUGACCGGCGACAUUGGGACUGAGGUACGGCCCAGACUGCUACGGGAGGCAGCAGUGGGGAAUAUUGCACAAUGAGCGGAAGCCUGAGGCAGCAACGCCGCGUGCGGGAUGACGGCCUUCGGGUUGUAAACCGCUUUCGCCUGUGACGAAGCGUGAGUGACGGUAAUGGGUAAAGAAGCACCGGCUAACUACGUG